GACCCAAGGUGGAGACGCAGGAGGCUUCUGAGCUCCCCUGUCCUGCGGACGCUCCAGCUGCGCGCUAUGCACAGAGCAGUUCCCACUGACAGAGACACAGGAACUAGCGGAGGGGCUCUACACCCCGGGCAGAGAAGAAGAUCCUCAUCAAACGGGACCACAGUUGAAGCUAACAGUGUCUCAACAUUGAAGGAGACUGGUCCUUGGAGGGGAACCACCGCGGGGAGCAGUUCUCCAUAGACAUGUAGACUGCGGGAAUGUACAGGCUACUUUUGAGUUGCGCACAUUUGACCCUUCAGCCAGAGCAAGGCUCUGCCAGAGCUCCGCCCACUGUAAGGGUGGGAAGGUGGCUUCCAAGUAGACUCACUGGAGAUCACCGCUGAACACCUGCUUCAGGCUUCGCCGUCAUCGUUUCAUUCGAUAGUCAAAAUAACCACGUAAUUAGCUAUUAAGUCUUUUUCACAGGUAAGGAAAUCAAGCCUCAGAAAUGGCUGAAAACCCGUCCUAGUGGAAGCCCUGGGAUGUAUGGGAGGCCUGUCUUGACGCUGAGCUCUUUCUACCACAUCACUCACUGCCUUUUCUAGGAAGGCUCCCUGUCUGAAGUCCCCACA